rnacentral:rRNA from 1 species
UACGAAGGGUGCAAGCGUUACUCGGAAUUACUGGGCGUAAAGCGUGCGUAGGUGGUGAGUUAAGUCUGUCGUGAAAGCCCCGGGCUCAACCUGGGAAUGGCGAUGGAUACUGGCUCGCUAGAGUGCGGUAGAGGAGAGUGGAAUUCCCGGUGUAGCAGUGAAAUGCGUAGAGAUCGGGAGGAACAUCAGUUGCGAAGGCGGCUCUCUGGACCAGCACUGACACUGAGGCGCGAAAGCAUGGGGAGCAAACAGG